ACCCAGUUUCGAUCCCUGGGUCGGGAAGAUCCUCUGGAGAAGGAAAUGGCAACCCACUCCAGUAUUCAUGCCUGGAGAACCCCAAGGACAGAGGAGCCUGAUAGGCUGCAGUCCAUGGAGUCGCAAAGAGUCGGACACGACAGCAUGCACAUUAAUCACCUUGCCUAGGCUUAAAAGCAAACCCACCGCGGUACAGGUUAGACCCUCCCCCCGCCAAAAUCCUGAGGAGAGAUGGCUUCGGGAGUGAACUCAGAGGAGGGCAGGGCGGGCGGAAGCUGGAGCCUCAGCUCAGAGUUCAGGGGGGUUGACAUGAGCUAAGAGUUCAGACUUGGCUGCUUGGGACGGGCUGGAACAGGCAGAGGAGGAAGGGGAGAUUCCUGGCCGAGCAAAGGUUAGUAAGGAGAGCAAUAGGCAGGUGAGAAGGGCCGCUUAACUGCUGGCGCCUGUCAAGGCCAAUUAACUUCCCUCCCUGGCUUGUCCAGCAGCCACGCCUCACCCCCACCCAGCUGUUGCACGGGGUUGCGCUGCCAGCCUGUAACUUCUUCCAGGCUACAGUGAGCAGAGGCCUGCUGCCAACCUCCCUGACACGGGGCCAGGGAGCCGUCUCACCUUUGAUCAACUCUAGGCUCCCUACCUGCCCCUCUGAGUCUCCUUGCCCUCAACCUCACCCCUCCUCGCCUGACCAUAAUCCUGAGAGCCCACAGUUCAGUAGUCCUGCAACCAAACCUCACCACAGGUUGUCCUUCCUGCCACGGAGCUAAUUCCCUGACCUGCAUGGGCGGAAUGUGGGCCAAGUUGUUUUUCUGGCAGAUUCAGGCGGACCCACCCUUUGCUGUCGUGGCCCCUGGACAGGACUGAUCCAGGAGGUGGUGAAGGAGCCCUUUAAUUCCUCAGAGGUGUGGGGAUAACAAAUGGAGGCUGAGGACAAGACCAAGCGCAUGUGGUCUGCAUGGCCCAGCAGAAUUUUGCUAACGCUUGAUAUUCCCUCCUUCCUCUGCUUUCUAGAUGGCAGUCCCUCCUCCUUCCUUUCUCAGCCUCAGAGCUCCACCUUCCCUCGGCCCAGAGAUAAGCUCUCUCAGAGAAUCAGGCUGUGGUGAUAACUGUUUGGGGAGUCACCCCCACAAGGCAUUUUCAACCGCUGACCCUUAAGCUAUGACCCCACAAGUGUGGAUUCCAGAGCUGAGACCAGUGCUGGGGG
ensembl:lncRNA